ACGGGAGGCAGCAGUGGGGAAUAUUGCACAAUGGGGGAAACCCUGAUGCAGCCAUGCCGCGUGUGUGAAGAAGGCCUUCGGGUUGCAAAGCACUUUCAGCGAGGAGGAAAGGGUGUUGCCUAAUACGUAACAUCUGUGACGUUACUCGCAGAAGAAGCACCGGCUAACUUCGUGCCAGCAGCCGCGGUAAUACGAGGGGUGCAAGCGUUAAUCGGAAUUACUGGGCGUAAAGCGUGCGUAGGUGGUUACUUAAGCAAGAUGUGAAAGCCCCGGGCUCAACCUGGGAACUGCAUUUUGAACUGGGUGACUAGAGUUUUGUAGAGGGUAGUGGAAUUUCCAGUGUAGCGGUGAAAUGCGUAGAGAUUGGAAGGAACAUCAGUGGCGAAGGCGGCUACCUGGACAGAAACUGACACUGAGGCACGAAAGCGUGGGGAGCAAACAGGAUUAGAUACCCUGGUAGUCCACGCCGUAAACGAUGUCAACUAGCCGUCUGUAGACUUGAUCUGUGGGUGGCGUAGCUAACGCGCUAAGUUGACCGCCUGGGGAGUACGGCCGCAAGGUUAAAACUCAAAUGAAUUGACGGGGGCCCGCACAAGCGGUGGAGCAUGUGGUUUAAUUCGAUGCAACGCGAAGAACCUUACCAUCCCUUGACAUCCAGAGAAAUUUCUAGAGAUAGAUUUGUGCCUUCGGGAACUCUGUGACAGGUGCUGCAUGGCUGUCGUCAGCUCGUGUUGUGAAAUGUUGGGUUAAGUCCCGCAACGAGCGCAACCCCUAUCCUUAUUUGCCAGCGCAUAAUGGCGGGAACUCUAAGGAGACUGCCGGUGAUAAACCGGAGGAAGGUGGGGACGACGUCAAGUCCUCAUGGCCCUUACGAGCAGGGCUACACACGUGCUA
rnacentral:rRNA from 1 species